rnacentral:rRNA from 1 species
AUUGAACGCUGGCGGCAGGCCUAACACAUGCAAGUCGAACGGUAACAGGAAGAAGCUUGCUUCUUUGCUGACGAGUGGCGGGCGGGUGAGUAAUGUCUGGGAAACUGCCUGAUGGAGGGGGAUAACUACUGGAAACGGUAGCUACUACCGCAUAACGUCGCAAGACCAAAGAGGGGGACCUUCGGGCCUCUUGCCAUCGGAUGUGCCCAGAUGGGAUUAGCUAGUAGGUGGGGUAACGGCUCACCUAGGCGACGAUCCCUAGCUGGUCUGAGAGGAUGACCAGCCACACUGGAACUGAGACACGGUCCAGACUCCUACGGGAGGCAGCAGUGGGGAAUAUUGCGCAAUGGGCGCAAGCCUGAUGCAGCCAUGCCGCGUGUAUGAAGAAGGCCUUCGGGUUGUAAAGUACUUUCAGCGGGGAGGAAGGGAGUAAAGUUAAUACCUUUGCUCAUUGACGUUACCCGCAGAAGAAGCACCGGCUAACUCCGUG